ACACAAUCUUAGUCUUUCCAUCUUAAAGGAUUCCUUCCAAGUAUUUCUUUUGUGCUUUUUAACCUAUAAAAGAUAAUGGAAUAUGCUUUAUAGACUGGAUUUUAUCUCGUUCCCUCUCCCAACUGCACUCAGUUUAAUAGUUGUCAGUAUUUCCUCCGUGUUGAAUUUAAUUAUAUAGGAACAAAAAAAUUUCUCAGUGAAUUAACCUGCUACAUCUUCUCACAUUUGUCAUUUCCCCUUUGAGAAAUAGCUUCAUUACCGAAAGCUACCU
ensembl:misc_RNA